CGCGUAGCCAACAAACCUAUGGACGGGGAUAACCUCGGGAAACUGAGACCCUACCCGAUAGAUCAUCAUGCCUGGAAUGGCCGAUGGUUGAAAUGAUUUAUCGCCAUAGGAUGGGACUGCGAUCUAUCAGCUUGUUGGUGAGGUAAUGGCCCACCAAGGCUAUAACAGAUACGGGCUCUGAGAGGAGAAGCCCGGAGAUGGGUACUGAGACACGGACCCAGGCCCUAUGGGGCGCAGCAGGCGAGAAAACUUUGCAAUGUGCGAAAGCACGACAAGGUUAAUCCGAGUGGUUCCUGCUAAAGGAACCUUUUGCCGGUCCUAAAAACACCGGUGAAUAAGGGGUGGGCAAGUUCUGGUGUC
rnacentral:rRNA from 1 species